GAUACAAGGUGUGGCUCACAAAUUUGCAAGCUAGAAUGGGGUGUGGAGCAUCUACUGCAGUAGAUUCAAGCCAUCAGCCAAGAAGAGUUGUGCCUUCAGCUCCACCACCACAACCAACUGAUGAAAUAGUCUAUGUUCCACCUUUACCCCCCAUAAAUGGACCUGCCAGGGGAGGACUUGAACAUUAAAUAAAAAGAAAUAUGUCAUGUUCAAAUCUGUCAUGUUACCAUUCUUUACAUUGUGGGAUUUAAAUAAAAUAUAGAUUUAAUCUACAAUUUAUUUUGAUAUUCCUUUAACAUGUUUGUACAGCACUA